rnacentral:rRNA from 1 species
UUCCAAUUUAUUGGAGUGGAGUGCCGUAAUCUAACGAGUUAAGCAUGCCGCCUGGGUAGUAUACUCGCAAGAGUGAAACUCAAAGGAAUAGGCGGGGAAACACACAAGCAGUGGAUUGUCUAGAUUAAUUGGAUAAUAAGCCAAGAAUCUUACCUAGACUUGACAUAUACUGUGUCCUAUGUGAAAGCAUAGUAGUCCGAUUUAUCGGACACGGUAUACAGGUGGUGCAUGGUCGUCGUCAGCUCGUGCCGCAAGGUGUCCAGUUAAGUCUGGAAACGAGCGCAACCCUCGUCCUUAGUUAGAAUGUCUAAGGAGACUGCUCCGGCAACGGAGAGGAAGGAGAGGAUGACGUCAGAUCCUCAUGCCCCUUACGUCUAGGGCUUCAUAGACAAUACAAUGGGUAGUACAACGAGCAGCGAUACCGCGAGGUGGAGCAAAUCUCUUAAAACUACCCCUAGUUCGGAUUGUAGUCUGGAACUCGACUACAUGAAGUUGGAAUUGCUAGUAAUGGCGGGUCAGCUAUACCGCCGUGAAUAUGUCCCUGUUUCUUGCACUCACCGCCCGUCAAAGCAUGGGAGUUGGGGUUCUCUGAAGGUGUGCCAUGCAUGCUGAGGAGGAAAUCAAUGACUGGGCUUAAGUCGUAACAAGGUA